rnacentral:lncRNA from 1 species
AUAUAUUGGCAGCACAGCCUUCCUCAUUGGACCUGGGCAGCAAAUAAGGAUGAUGCUUGAUCCUGUACGCGUUUAUGCUACAGCCAUUUAUAUUGGGUGUGUUGUUGUAGCUCUAAUCUGUGCUCUUCUGGUAAGCUGGAUGCUUUGACUGACGCAUAUCACGACUUUGAUGAUUUUCUGAAAGAAAAGCUGCAUAAAAUCAUCAUGUGUGCACUCAUAGUUUUGCAAAAUUCUUAUUGUUGGUUUGGAAUCAUUGUUAACGCAGGCAAUGCAAUCACUGUACUACAUUUUCAUUGCAUACAAAAAGUAAAAAAACUACAUGUUAUGGUCCUUCGCUAUUUUAUUAUCUUUAAUUGCCACAAAGAGUAUGGGAUUUUAGUGAUUUAUCUUUCUCAUUGAGCUUAAGAGCUGUUGUCCUUUCAGCAUUAUAUUUGGACAUUAACUUGAGUUGGUAACUGGGAUUUUGACUUACUUUUACUAAGAUGGUCUAACUUACUACACAACAGGAAGAAGAAAUAGACGGAUGCAAUCUGCUUCACUUUUCCUUCUUUUCUUCUUCAUAAUAGCUUUUUUUUUUUUUUUAUUUUUGUGAUACCUUGCAGAUCCACAGUAAGAUUUUAACGAUAAUAGCAAUCAUAUGUGAGAUUUGUGCCCUUGUCUGGUGAGUUUGUUUCACAUCAUUCAUCUUACAAUAGUUUUGUAUCUGUUCUAUUUUCCAUCAGAAUAUCCUAGUGCAUUUUUCCUAUAAAGAGAAGUAGAACGGUUCUGAAAAAUAAAGCUUUCUCAUGAGUAAAAACUUGAAAGUAAGAGAAUUUUGCGGGCCUGUAAAAUUUGCAGUGUAAUAUAUUGCUUUCAUGGGACAGGUAAUAAUUCACAGUGCACAGACUGUAAAAUGUAAGUACCUAACUGAAUGAUGGUCAUUGUAGUUGCACGUCUAUAUUCAUUUUACUUUUCGUUUAAUACUCAAUUCAGCAUGCUAGAUUACGUUUGUCGCCAAAAAGUAUUGGAACAAACUUUUGACAUUUAAAGAAGAUUCUCGACAAUUAUGCAUUUUGUGGAUCUUGAAGAAACAACAGGGCUUGGACUUGUUGCAGUUUGAUAGGCCAUAAUCCAUUGAACAUUAGAGGUUAAGACUACAAAAAGUCACAUUAGAAAUGAAGAUUUUCUGGACUCUAAUAGUCCACUACUAUUUUUGCAUGUCAUCUUACUAUAAUUUAAGACGACUAAGUACACACUUUUGAUGACAAGAAAGAUGAAAGCCUUGAAGAGCAUGUGAUGUAUGGUGGCUAAUGCUUUGUUGUGUGCAAAUAACAUUUUGAAAACUAAGAACUACUAAGGACAGGAGGAGUUCAAAAUUGAUCUCUUACUUUUUUAUCUGCGGGUUUUCCAGGGGGGCAGUGCGACAUUUUAAUUGAUAACCCAGUCCUAAUUCCACUUUUUUUUUGGCUGGUGAAUGCAAAGAGUUGGACCUCUAGAACAUAAUUUUAUGAUAGAAACACAAAACUUGCGCUUCAAGAGUGACUAAAACUCUGCUUGGAAUAUGAUAUUAUUUUUCUGUCAACUCUAAAGACCAUCAAUAUUUCCAGAUGGACAACUGCUCCCAUGAAGUGUCUUAGUCUUUGUUUCUGGUUUCUGGUUGGGUUGGGGAAGAUAACCAUUGCCUGGGGAUUUGGAUUGUUGUAGGUUGGGCUUUGGAAGUGUGGGGAGAUUUGAAUUCACAAACUAAACAUAAUUUUGUGUCAAAUAGGAGAUACACUAGAGGUAGCCUUGAGUAUGGCCCAUGGUAACCCAAUAUUUUGAGCACUGAUGCAAUUGGCCCAAUUUCACUUGAUUAGAGAGAGCUAUCUUGUCAGUGGGCUGAUGUAGCAGAAAAUGUUAACGGUUGUUUUGAGGGAUCCUGGAGUCUAAAUACUUUUCUCAGGUGUCCCAUUGCGAACCAUGCUAUGUGCGGUGUGAAUUAUUUGGCUUACUGGUACUAUAUAUUUGCCUGUUUUAGUGACUCUAAAUUAUUUCAAGACGGCCUUUGAGAUCACCUUUGUUUGCCAUUUCAGGUAUAGUUUAAGCUAUAUUCCUUUUGCUCGAAGGAUGGUUUCCUCGGUGACGAUCCGUCUAUUUGACACUGAAAUCUAAGCAGUUCAACAUACAAAUGUGUGUUUGUGCAGCCAUUGGCCAACGAAAUUCUCUACAGAGUUGAUUUACUCCAAUUCUUUCUAAUGAGAGUCGAUUCUUUUUUUGGAUUGCUGUGAAAAAGUGUUACCAACUUGGCUUUGAUUUUUGGGCUGUUAAACUUUAUGAUGACUGAAAUGCUACAAUCUACAAGCGAUUCAGUCUCAUCAAAGGGCAGUUACUAUUGAUUCAACUGUCCUUUUGUGUUGCUGUUCACUCUGGUUUUAAUUUCUCUGAAAUACCAUUUAAGUUGUUGUCUUCCUAUAUCAAAUAAUUAUAUCCUUGUCUUUCAAAAUGCCUUUCAUGACUGGUGCAGAUGCUGCAUAAUUUCGUGUUGGACUACUUUUUCUUCCCUGGCUACCUACCUACCAUUUAAGCCUUUUUCCCAACAACCAAAAUGGUGGGAGUGGCUAGUAAGCUUUGCCAUUAUUCUACCUAAUCAGUCAGCAUCCUCACCUCAAAUGCCCGACGAUGUCCUAAUAAAACGAGGUAUCUUGACAUGCUCUGAGAUUCGGGUCUUCUGUUUUGCCUUGUUUUCCUGCUUUUUGGCAAAGUGCUGCUAUUUUUACUUGAUUACAGAUUUAAAAAAAAAAAGAAAAAAGGGUAGCAAGUUAACUUAUCAUAGAACAAUUCGUUGACUGUGUUGUUGUCAAGUUCGAGUUCAGACGUAUCUUUUGUAGCUUCUACCAUAUUCAAGCAGAGGCCGAAACUGAAUUACUUCUUAAUCCAAUUGGAUCCUCCAGGCUAAAGUAGGCUAAAGUAGGAGUAGUAUAAGAGUUGAUAAUAUAUAGAGAGAGAGAGAGAGAGAGAGACUUGUUCGGUCCUUAAACUUCACUAAAUUUUGAUGGGUCAUCUCAUCGACCACGGUCAUGUGCGACAUGACUAUUUAGCAGCUUAACGAAAAGAUAUGGGCCUCUAGCUGUGGACCCCAAGACAAUAUAGGUAAAAGGGUUGGUGUGGGCUUGUGGCUUUACCAACUCCCGAAGGGAUGAAGGAACCAAUUCAAUACGAAUGAAAAGGAGAAAAGUCUUUGUACAUCUGCAUUUAUACAAGUUUGGUUUUGGUGGGGUUUUCUCUAUGCCCCAUGGCCCAUGGGGUAGUACUUAAUACUAAAAGUUGUUUGUCAGUAUUAUUAAAUUUAGAUAAGCGUGUAUCUAUUGAAGACAUUAAUGAAGCUCAGCAAUGAUCAAAUUCUUGCACGCACUUAUUGUGUCAUCAUUUGCUAGCAAGUAGGUGAAGAGCCUGGGUUGACUUAAGUCAUUGAUUCUCUCUCCAAAACUUGGUAGACCCGAUCUUAAAAAAAUCCAAUAGUGUUUGAAUCCUUCAAUUUUUCAAAAAAUAGUUUUUUUAAAUAUUAUAAAAAUUUUUAAAAAAAAUACUCUAACAGGUAUUUUAAAAAGUAAUCUAAAUUUUUUUUAAUAUUUAAAAAAUAUAUUUUAAAAUUCUACUACUCUUAAAUAUUUCAAAAUAUUUUCUAAAAAAUAUCUCAAAAUAUACUCUAAAAACUCUGUUACAAUAAAAUUUUUCAAAAACAGCUAAUCCAAACGGAGCCAUUAUGAUCCGAAUUCUGCCACCUUAUUCAAAAGAUUCAAUAGUGUGGCAUAAUUCGGAUCAUUGAAUCUUUAAAAAUUCAACGAAUCCCUCUAUUCUCUUGGGCACUAUUUCAAGGUUGAACACCCUUUGAUACCCAUGCAAACAUAUCCUGACUUCUUUCGCGACGACGGGUUUGGGACACAAAUGGUUGUCAGGUCAACCAUUGUAUCGAUUUUUGGCCAAACUUAGUUGGGUGGGUGGGUUGGUGUCUACGUGUGAAUCAAUAAAUAUUUUAGUAAUUGAAAACAAUAGUAGUGUUUACGGUAAAGGAGGUUGGAUGACGUUAGUACCAAUCAAUCAGAUUAGAGGAAGUGUCAAUAAAAGCAAAUAAGAAACCAUGAAGAUUUGUGCAGCCGCUGUGGAAUUUUCAAGUAUAUAGUAAAAUUUACAUGCAAAGUGCAAACACAUACGAGUAGCAACUACGUAGUACUACCUGCACCGCUGUGAGAGAGAGAGAGAGGGAUUUGGGAAUCAGCAGGGUAAAUUCCGACCCUUUUUUCUCCGUCCAGCAGAUAGUCACCCCUUGGAAUCAAGGAGGAGUCGUAGAGGAGAGACUCAAGGACCCCUCCAAUCAUGCAACAGCCGCUCAUCUGACCUCAAUGAUUCACUGCAUCGGACCUCCAAUUUAAUACCCUCUCAUUUU